rnacentral:lncRNA from 1 species
UGUUAGAAGGAGAGUACUCUAAGUAGGAGGCUCUGAAGAAAGAGUCUCUAAGGAGUCUCUUGGGAGAGGCUCUUGAGGACAGGCAGAAGAAUCCCUCUCUGGAGAAGAAUGGCUGGCUGAACUGGUGUCUAUAUCCUUGCUUAGACAGACCUUGUGAUAUCAGGGACUGCAUUAAAAGCAAAGAGCCUUCUGUUAUAUAUAGAGGGAAAGGAAAGCAAAGCAAAACAAAAACAACACUUCUUUUUACUCAGGGAAAAUAGGUGAAAAAAAGAGUCCUACAUCACUUCUGUUGUGAACCUGGAAGCAACAAUGGAAGGAAUCCACAUUGGCCCAUAGAAGGUAAUCAGCCCUAACAGCUGGUAGAGAAGAAAGUAAAGAAUAACACAUGCUGUUCAACUGAAGUGACAUUAUAGAAGAAAUGUCAGCAAUUCCCUGAUUGGAAUCCAGCCAUGUUUCUGAUAAUGCCACUGGAAUUAUUUAAUUAUUUGUACUUCCAUCUUUAAAAAAAAUGCUUGCACAAUUAUGACCUCCAUUUUAUGAGCAACCCCAAAUAGCACUAUGUUGGUUUAAAGGAUUUAACUUUUUACUUUAGGACUAACACACCAUUAGAGGACUGUUUAUCAAGUAGCCAAUAUCCAAAGAACUAGUUAAAAGUCAAAAUGAACAAUGUAGCCUACAUCGAUACAGAAUCAAUGAUAUUAUUAGAUUAUGAUUAAUGUUCAUAUUUUCUAAAGAAAAUGUCAUGAUAUAUAUAGUAUAAACAUAUAUACACACAUAUACAUGCAGAAAUAUAUAUGAGUAUAUUCUGUAUAAAAUUAUCUUAUACACAUUGAUAUAUAAAGCAAUUAUUAAGCACCUACCAUAUGACUACACUUUAUGAUUUGCUAGAGAUAUAGAUAUAAGUAAAUUAUAAUUAUUCUUAAAGA